AACCCGCCCCUUCCUUUCAUUGCUAUGGACUACAGAGUUAUGUGUUUUUAGCAUUGUUGCUUAGCUGUUUGAUACUAGCAUUGUCCAUUUAGCAUGCGAUUUAUAUGUUUAGUGUGACUUUGGGCUACCGAGACUGUGUGCAGAUGUGAUGUGCUGCUCACAAUUAGUGCGGUGAGCCAUCAAGGCUCCCAACUGUGUAGCAUGGUAGUUUAACGUAGCUCCGGUCGGAGCGCCAAAUGUUGCCAUCACAGCUAUUAAAGACGCUAUCAAGAUGAUUUUCGUAUGUGCCUUCGUGACUAUCAUGUCAUCGGAUCACGGGUCCUCAAUUUUGCAUGCGUUAAGGCAGGCUGAGUGAGAUGUGGUCAUUUCGGUAUAGCGCCUCCCCCUCACUCACGGAAACACGUUGCUGUUUGCUUUUGCUGCUUGGUUGCUUUGAUUUUUUAUUAUGUUCUGUUUUUUGUUAUUUUGCUUUGUGGUGGUUACUGUCACUGAGAUCAGCUUUCUUUAAUUCAACUGUGUUGUAACAGUCUUUAUCAGUUAUGCUGAUACUGCUAUGUGGUAGUAGUGGUUUUCAUCAGCUUUGGUAAACUUGCUACCUGUAAUCAGUUUGAGCUCAGGGUUAUGUCUGUGUUUUUGUGACAGUAAGUUUGUCUUUGUUUUAUUUUAUUCUUGUGUUUGUCUGCUUUGAGCAUAUUGUAAUUGACUUUGUGUUUUUGUUUUCUCCUUGUAGGAGUUGAGUGCUUCCUGAGGCUGGGGGGGGUGUUCUUUGCUGCACCUUUGGCUUUACUUAAUUAAGGGUCGUCAUUAUUGCUGUGUUUAUUUGCAGUGAAUUUUGUGGGUAUGAUUCUGAUUAGUGGGGUGCUUUUCCCUUUUGUAUAGCUGGUGCUGUCGUACUAGCCUGCCCUUCAUACAGGAAGCCUCAGCCCUCCUAUGAUUAUUGUUAACUGGUGACUGUUUUAUUUGACCAAUGCCUGACUGCGUUGGAUAUUUCUUUUAAAAUAAUUCUUGGCCAGUCUUUUUAACUUCAAAAUAAAAUGUAUUUUUGUAUGGAAA